CAGCCGCCGCGGUAAUACGUAGGGUGCGAGCGUUAAUCGGAAUUACUGGGCGUAAAGCGUGCGCAGGCGGUUCGUUAAGACAGAUGUGAAAUCCCCGGGCUUAACCUGGGAACUGCAUUUGUGACUGGCGAGCUAGAGUAUGGCAGAGGGGGGUAGAAUUCCGCGUGUAGCAGUGAAAUGCGUAGAGAUGUGGAGGAAUACCGAUGGCGAAGGCAGCCCCCUGGGCCAAUACUGACGCUCAUGCACGAGAGCGUGGGGAGCAAACAGGAUUAGAUACCCGCGUAGUCCCUGUCUCUUAUAC
rnacentral:rRNA from 1 species